rnacentral:misc_RNA from 1 species
AAAGAUGUUUCAGCAAUUAGUGAGAGCCGCCAGUCAACCUGGUACUCCACAGUAAGAACAAACAGCUGUAUUACCCAAUUCAAAUUUUUAUAUAUCAUCUGUGGCUGUGUACAUGUGUUAUGACAGGAAAUAUGUCCUUUUUCUUUCUUCAUUUGGUUCACUGCUAUCUAUUCAGUGAAAAGAGUAUUGAGUAAGAUGGCUGACACGGCAGUGGUCACAAAUAUUAAUGGCAAUGUAUAAUCAAUACUUAAUUUAGAAUUUCUUACUGCUGCUCUUCAGUCCUUUUUAUGUAUUUUACAUUAGUACACACGGCAAGCAGAUAGGAUGUAUGCAUCCUGGCAUGUAUUCAUAGGCAUGCUGUACAGUCUGCAGUUGCUGCUUAUUAAAACAUUGAAGGACGCAUUUUACGUUUACCCAAAAGAUGUUUAAACUAAAUGCAGGAUAAAUCUUCAAUACUGAGUGCAGCAAGUUUGCCUCUUUGUCUGUGAACAAAAAUAAGAUCCCGGAGCCUAUUUUCUAGAUGGAUAUGAUUUAUUCAUAUUGUGUAAUCCCUAUACGGUUCUUUUAAAAUUACAUGGUGCAAUUGACGAACAUCAAUCAUGUUUCUUGCGACAAAAUGCAAGUUUUAAUUUAUUUAAUUUACUUGUAGGUGCUUCCUACUCACUCCAAAGUUGCUACCGGAUUUGGAAUACAGCGAGGCAUGUAGCAUUCUGAAUAUAAUGAAUGGGCCUUGGAUUAAACAGCCUGUUAAAGUGUGGAGCAAUGGUGAAUGUUGGAGAGCUGUCGGAGGCAAUUGCCAGUGAAUGCCAUGAUGAGAUCUUUUGAUUGAAAAGGAUCCAGGAGUCUGCCAGUGCCAUGAUGAGGCAAGAAGCAAUCCGUGUUUUUUCUCACAUAAACUAGUUUUUGUACAAAGCUUUUAUUUUUCGCCUGAACCUUAGGGUAAUUCCUUUUGUCCUGUGUAUAGAUGAUUCUUCAAGAAUGUAGUAAUAUGACUUAUGUUGAGGCACGCCUCCCUGGAAAUCAACAGUGUAAUUGAAUUCUCGUUAAUAAAAUGAAUUCCUCCAACCAAA